rnacentral:rRNA from 1 species
GACGAACGCUGGCGGCGUGCCUAACACAUGCAAGUCGAGCGAUGAAACUUCUUCGGAAGUGGAUUAGCGGCGGACGGGUGAGUAACACGUGGGCAACCUACCUCAUAGUGGGGAAUAGCCUCUCGAAAGGGAGAUUAAUACCGCAUAAGAUUGUAGCUUCGCAUGAAGCAGCAAUUAAAGGAUUUAUUCGCUAUGAGAUGGGCCCGCGGCGCAUUAGCUAGUUGGUGAGGUAACGGCUCACCAAGGCGACGAUGCGUAGCCGACCUGAGAGGGUGAUCGGCCACAUUGGGACUGAGACACGGCCCAGACUCCUACGGGAGGCAGCAGUGGGGAAUAUUGCACAAUGGGGGAAACCCUGAUGCAGCAACGCCGCGUGAGUGAUGACGGUCUUCGGGUUGUAAAACUCUGUCUUUGGGGACGAUAAUGACGGUACCCAAGGAGGAAGCCACGGCUAACUACGUGCCAGCAGCCGCAGUAA